ensembl:lncRNA
GAAAGCGUUGCCUUCAUAAGUGAAGUGAAUCAUCAAAAUGCCACAAUUUCUAAGACUAAUAAUUUCCACAUGUAUGCUUCAUGUAAUCCCUUGUUGCCUCCCUACUCAAAGGAUUUGCUGAAACUUAGCUUUAUUAAAUGUGUCCUAUAUAUACUCUAAAUCUUUAAUUUUGUCAGUAUUAUUGUUCCUGCAAGAAAACAAAUCCAGAUCUCAGAUACCUAUGAGGAAUUUGCUUAUAUAGUGAGAGACAAUUUUGACAAUAAUUGAGGACAAUAGUCCUCUGCUAUGUGGAGGUCAUAAUGCAUUCACAGGUCCUUGAGAUAGUGUCUCAUAUUUCUAUUGUAAAAAAAUUGUCCUUUGUCUCAUUGUUGUCUAUUUUAUUUUCCCAACGGUUUUACAAUCAAUUGAAGGACUAAAAGAGGAAGAGCACAGUAUCCUAAUGUUGGCAAUAUAAGUAAUGGAAUAUCCGACCAAACAGGAGACUAUUAACUAUGACUUAGAAACAAAAGAACCAUGUAUCCAGCAAAAUGACAGAGUUAUGGAGUAGUAGAUUAGAUACAAGCAGCCGACAAAAGAUACUCACAUGGUCCCCUGUCAAUUCUACUAUCCCUGAGUCUCUGAGAAUAAUUAAUCCCAUUUUUGUCUUAUAUGAAUUUUUUAAGACGUAUUAGACAACUGUCCAUAAUAUGCAUGCCUGUGGAUAGACUUAGCUGGAACUUGGAGAUAUUGUGAAAAGUAGACAUAUGCUAUCCUUACUAUAUGGAAACUUGGUAUUAUAGACAUUAAUGAAGUCCCUGCUACAGUUGAAACUCAGUUUGGUAAGGUUAAAUGGGUGGAAGUGUGUGUGUGUGUGUGUGUGUGUGUGUGUGUGUGUGUAUGUGUGUGUGUGUGAAGGGAAAUGUUUGAGAUAUAGCAGAGAAGACGAUGGAAAAGGAGAGCAGGUAGAAGAGAAUGACCCUAAAAAUUGAAUGUAUUGGGAGAGAAUGUUGGUUUGGUAUUAUCAACCUCAUGAAAAUGGGUGAAUGGGGUAGAUGGUUCCUAAAUUAAUGAACAGCCUUUAUCUGACCAUCCUCUAUAAAUGACUGAUGAAUUUGGUUUGAUCAUAGAUAUGGGAGAGCCAGCAGUGUGUAAGGUGGUCCCCUUGAGGAUAUCAAUAUAGGUUUUAUAAUAAAGUAAGCUAUAGGAAAGAUAGCAUGGUCUCUACUUCAGUUCCUGCUCCCACGUGCAUGUCUUGAAUUGAAAGUUUGCUUCUCAAGCAUGAUAAAUUUGAAACUUUAGUUUAUACUUCUCACGUUGCUGUUGCUUAGAACUUUAUGGAACAUUAAUAAAGCCAUCGAGGACACAGAGACAGUUUCUCUACUGACUGAAUAGUAGAGCUUUUUUUAGGGUGCUUACCCCUUGUAUUAAACAUGUGUUUUAAGUAAUAACAAAUUCUAGAAGUUUACACUGUAACAAAGAAGCAGAUUUAUAUAAAUUUAUUCAUGAAGUGUCUCGUUAAGAGAAAUGACUCAAAUCUUAUAUUGCAUACAUUUUUAUGUGCUUAUCUCAAGGCAAAUAUUGAAAAACCUGAACAGCUGAGUGGACAUCUUCAAGGAAGUUGUAGGAGCCAGAGGUCUGCAAACAGUAGCCUGCAGUCAACAACUCCAGUGCAGAAUGGACCCUGAAGAGGAAUUCAAGCACCAACAGAGCCUAUGCAACCACAUCUUGUAUAUAAUUCAUCUGCAUGGUCACAAAUAGAAAGUGAAGAUCAACCACAAUGACUUCAAAUGGGACUCUAUUCUGCAGAUGCUUAUCUUCAGAUCUCAGCCUGGACAUGAUUUGCAAUAGUGCAGACAAAGACUAUAUUUAAACAAUUUUAGAGUUAUGGAGGUUUGCUGUGACGUAUGGAGGUUGAUAAAGCAGAACUGAGUUCCCUGACCUGGGUGAUACUUCUUUCUGAAAGAAAUUUCUAAGAAAAAAAUGGAGAAAAGAACCUGGGAUCUUACCCAUCAUUGAAUAUCAGCCCUCAAAGUGACAUCACUACCGAGGCAUGUAACACAAGGGAGAGAUGAGAAAGAGCCUAUGGUGGUCUCACCCAUCUCAGACAUCCAGGCUUUGCUCACUUCCUUAGGGGUUGCACAAUCAGGAUUUUAAGCACUUUCAGGAUUUUUAAGAACCAUCAGCAACUGGAGG